rnacentral:tRNA from 1 species
GGAAGGGCAACCCGAUUGGUGACGGGAACCGGUUGGAAGCCGGUCGAACGUGAGCAACGUCUUAUGGGUUCAAAUCCCAUUCCUUCCGC